AACAAUUAUGCCCAUAUAUUACAUUAAAAUAUAGCAUAUUUUUAAAAGUGUUAUUGUCCCGUGCUAAUAGACUUAGGCGCUAAAAAGACAGCUAAAAUGACAUAUUAGGCGGCAAAUAUAAUAGACUUAGGCGCCAAAUGAAAGAAAAAACCCUUACCCUAAUCUCUAAGGUUGAAUCCCUAAUAACCCUUUACGCCUCCUCUCUCACACUCAGUAACUCUCUCUCGUUCUAUCUUUCUCUCUUAGCUACUCUCUCGUUCAAUCCUUCUUUCCUUCUCUCUGUUUGUUGCAGGUGUGUAACAAGGUGAUGGGGGCCCGCAGCUUGGGUCGUAUGACAGGGAGGCUCGAUUCGUGGGUCUAUGGCGUGGCUCGCUCGUGGGUGCGGCGGUGAUUGCGGCGGUGGGUCUACGACAUGGCUCGACUGGUCUAUCUUCCAUCAGAUACGAUUUGGGGUUUGUAGAUUCAACUUGUUUCCGUGUCUAUGUGAAAGUCAGAUGUGAAGAGAUGGUGGAGACAACUGACUUAACAUUAAUGUAGUUGCAGGACUAAUGAGAAUAAUUGCUAGGAUACAUAUGCUUGGGGCUCUAAACGGUGUGAAGAUGGACUUGGCAAAUGUUGUUUCCCCUUUGCUUAUAGCAUAGCUAGAGAGCUUGAUUUGGAGGAAUGGACUUCGAGGACUGAAACUGCUAAUGUGCUGCAUGAGCCAGUAUGUCUCUUUUCAUCUCAUCUCAUCUCAUCUUGCAAGUCAUUUAUAAUUUAAGUAGUUUCUUUUUCUCUAGAGUUAAUUAUGAGAAAUUCAUAAACAUUGUUUGGUAAAUGAAAAUUGUAUUGUUCUGCUUUACUAACUCUGUUAGAUCAUUCCUUUUAUUCUGUUAACUUUCAAUUUUAUACAUAUUUGUAAAAUUUGGGCUCCUUAAUCUAUUUCUAAAAUUUAAAAUGUAUUUGAAUGAAUUAGUUUAGUGAUAGUGCUAGUUCUCUCAAUAUCCUAUCUUUCCAUAUCAAGUUUGAAAUUCAUGUCUAGAUCA